rfam:Gossypium raimondii Chr07_contig_111, whole genome shotgun sequence.
UAUUAAAAAUUUCAUGUAUUUGUAUAGUUAAAAAUUGACCUGAUUGAUAGAAUAACAGACAGUAACACAUAGUCUGGCACAUAUACUUCAUUCUGACCUACGUAAAUAAGUUUUUAACUGUAAAAAUAGAUGGAAUUUUAAUA